GCGGUUAGCUCAGUGGGUUGAGCACGGUGCUGACAAUAACGACAACGCUGAGGUCGUGGGUUCGAUUCCCGCUUGGUCGCA
rnacentral:tRNA from 1 species